GAACUCCUGUUCUACACUUCCCC
rnacentral:piRNA from 1 species